rnacentral:lncRNA from 1 species
UCCUCCUCACCGUAGUGCUCCACCUCCACCACCGCCUCCUCCUCUUGGUGCACCUGGGGUACCGCCUCCUCCACCUCCACCGUCCGGGAUGGGGAAUGCCUGGUCCACCGCCUCCUCCACCACCUUCCCGGANACCGCCUCCUCCACCACCUCCGGGAAGGGGAAUGGCUGCCCCACCGCCUCCUCCACCACCUCCCGGAAGGGGAAUGCCUGCCCCACCGCCUCCUCCACCACCUCCGGGAAGGGGAAUGCCUGCCCCACCGCCUCCUCCUCCACCUCCUGGACGUGGAAUGCCGGCGCCACCGCCACCUCCCCCUCGUGGAGCUCCACCACCUCCAC